ACCACCUUAAAGGAAAAUUACUUCCACCAUAAUUAGUCUUUUCUGAAAACAAACCAAAACCAAACAAACCCAAAUACCAAAUAAAAGCCCACACCCCUACCUGUCAUUAUUUUGGCCAUUCACUCCCCCUUAAAUCACAACAGCUAACUGCUAAUUUGAAGCAACUGUGAAGAGGCAAUAGAGGCUUUAACCUGACUAAAUGAAGCUCAUGUUUGUUGGGAGAGUUGCUAACCAGCUGACAGUAAGCAGGAGAAAAAGAAACCAACCCUAUCUCCAGUUCAGCCCAGAAGCCCAAGAGGUUUCCUCAGUCCCACCCACAAAGCAUAGGGAUGUGUUAUAUAUAGGGCCAAAGGACCUAGUACCAAGCUCUAGUCUGAUUAGAGCUUUUCUCAGGAAAGGAAAGCUUUAGUUGAAAAUUGAAGACCUUAAACCUCAGCUGCCUAUGGAUGUAUCAGUCUUGCAUGGGUAAAAAGGGUGUUGUGUAGCCUGACUUCAAAGAUUGAGCAGAAAAGCUUUCUCCUUCAACACAAGCAAGUUCUCUGGUUCCCAGGUAACUAUUUGAAGA